CCUACGGGUGGCCGCAGUGGGGAAUAUUGCGCAAUGGACGAAAGUCUGACGCAGCGACGCCGCGUGAGGGAUGAAGGUUUUCGGAUCGUAAACCUCUGUCAGGAGGGAAGAAAGCGCAUGGCGCCAAUCGGCCAUGCGUUGACGGUACCUCACAAGGAAGCGCAGGCUAACUCCGUGCCAGCAGCGGCGGUAAUACGGAGGGCGCGAGCGUUAAUCGGAAUUACUGGGCGUAAAGCGCGCGUAGGCUGUGGGGUAAGUUGGGGGUGAAAUCCCACGGCUCAACCGUGGAACAGACCUUGAUACUGCGCGACGUGAAUCAGGGAGAGGGUGGAGGAAUGCCAGGGGUAGGAGUGAAAUCCGGAGAUAUAUGGAGGAACAUCAGUGGCGAAGGCGGCCACCUGGACCGGUAUUGACGCUGAGGCUCGAAGGUGCGGGUAUCAAACAGGAUUAGAUACCCGUGUAGUC
rnacentral:rRNA from 1 species